CAGUCGCCGCGGGAAUACAGAGGGUGCGAGCGUUAAUCGGAUUUACUGGGCGUAAAGCGUGCGUAGGCGGCUUUUUAAGUCGGAUGUGAAAUCCCUGAGCUUAACUUAGGAAUUGCAUUCGAUACUGGGAAGCUAGAGUAUGGGAGAGGAUGGUAGAAUUCCAGGUGUAGCGGUGAAAUGCGUAGAGAUCUGGAGGAAUACCGGUGGCGAAGGCGGCCCCCUGGACAAAGACUGACGCUCAGGUGCGAAAGCGUGGGGAGCAAACAGGAUUAGAUACCCCUGUAGUCCCUGUCUCUUAUAC
rnacentral:rRNA from 1 species